CAGAUGCAGAACCCGUAGAUAUGGAGGGCUGACUGUAUCAGACUAUCAAGGAACAUGUUCUUCUCAUGAGGAUAGCAGAAGCAAUACAAGAGGCACACAGAGCAAGGAAGCGAUAAGAGGAAGCUAGAACACUGUUCAGCGCUGGCUGCCCAGUGGCUGAUGCUCUCAGGAGAAAGGGGCAGAUUCCCUAAGCUGACAUAGCCUGAAGAGCUUCUGCAGAGCCAGAAGAAGACAUAUAGUUUUCCCGAAGUUGAAGAGGCCCCAGGGACUAUUCAAUCCUUCAGAUGAGGGAGAAGAGAGUGGGAAAAGGGGAAUGACUAGCCAAACCCCUAAUUUCCUGAGGUCUCUCAGCUCUAGAUCCAGCAAAAUAAGGUAAAUAAACGAAGGUUCCCUAAAAUGGUAGGGGUGCAUCCUCUACUCUGCACAGGUGGUGGGUAACAGGACCUCUGCCUCCACAACAAGUCACAGGGUGACAGAGCUAGGUCGAGAUGCUCACUCUGAGGAAGGAAGACCUAUAGUCAGAAGAGGCAUGCCAAAUAAUCAAGAAUCAUUUGGAACGAUAAAGAUUUAUGACACAAAACUAAGUUCUUUCUCCACUUAGAAAAUGGAGA